CUACGGGCCGCAGCAGUGGGGAAUAUUGCACAAUGGGGGGAACCCUGAUGCAGCAACGCCGCGUGGAGGAUGACACAUUUCGGUGCGUAAACUCCUUUUAUAUAAGAAGAUAAUGACGGUAUUAUAUGAAUAAGCACCGGCUAACUCCGUGCCAGCAGCCGCGGUAAUACGGGGGGUGCAAGCGUUACUCGGAAUCACUGGGCGUAAAGAGCAUGUAGGCUGGUUUGUAAGUUGGAAGUGAAAUCCUAUGGCUUAACCAUAGAACUGCUUCCAAAACUACUUACCUAGAGUAUGGGAGAGGUAGAUGGAAUUUCUGGUGUAGGGGUAAAAUCCGUAGAGAUCAGAAGGAAUACCGAUUGCGAAGGCGAUCUACUGGAACAUUACUGACGCUCAGAUGCGAAAGCGUGGGGAGCAAACAGGAUUAGAUACCCUUGUAGUC
rnacentral:rRNA from 1 species